GUAAGUGUGGUGUAGUGGUUUGAGCAUUCGACUAAGACUUUAGAGACCAGGGUUCGAUUCCCAGCUCAGCCA